rnacentral:tRNA from 1 species
GCCUUGGUAGUGUAAUGGACAAGCACGGCAGACCGGAUAUCUGUAAAUGUAGGUUCGAGUCUCGCCUGAUGCU